CACGGUUGGAUUAGUGGCGAACGGGUGAGUAUCACGUGAGUAACCUUCCCUUGACUCUGGGAUAAGCCCGGGAAACUGGGUCUAAUACCGGAUACGACCAGUCCUCGCAUGGGGUGCUGGUGGAAAGAUUUAUCGGUCUUGGAUGGACUCGCGGCCUAUCAGCUUGUUGGUGAGGUAAUGGCUCACCAAGGCGAUGACGGGUAGCCGGCCUGAGAGGGUGACCGGCCACACUGGGACUGAGACACGGCCCAGACUCCUACGGGAGGCAGCAGUGGGGAAUAUUGCACAAUGGGCGAAAGCCUGAUGCAGCGACGCCGCGUGCGGGAUGACGGCCUUCGGGUUGUAAACCGCUUUCAGCAGGGAAGAAGCGAGAGUGACGGUACCUGCAGAAGAAGCGCCGGCUAACUACGUGCCAGCAGCCGCGGUAAUACGUAGGGCGCGAGCGUUAUCCGGAAUUAUUGGGCGUAAAGAGCUCGUAGGCGGUUUGUCACGUCUGCUGUGAAAGCCCGAGGCUCAACCUCGGGUGUGCAGUGGGUACGGGCAGACUAGAGUGCAGUAGGGGAGACUGGAAUUCCUGGUGUAGCGGUGAAAUGCGCAGAUA
rnacentral:rRNA from 1 species